GAAACGGGUUAAUAUUCCCGUACUUCUUACAAUUGCGAUGGGGGGACGGAGAAGGCUAGGUGGGCCUGGCGACGGUUGUCCAGGUUCAAGUGCGUAGGCUUAAGAGUUAGGUAAAUCCGGCUCUUUCUAAGGCUGAGACACGACGUCGAGCACCUACGGGUGUGAAGUCAUUGAUGCCAUGCUUCCAGGAAAAGCCUCUAAGCUUCAGAUUGUAAGGAAUCGUGCCACAAACCGACAGAGGGGGUCGGGGAG
rnacentral:rRNA from 1 species